rnacentral:misc_RNA from 1 species
GGAGCACACUAUACUUUCCUAGCCACUGAAAAGAACAAUGUGGCCUCUACCAAUCUCUUCACUUCCAAGUGUAAUUACAUGAACUUUAGUUCAUUGGUGAUAUUUGUUCAACCAGCUCUCCCUGUGAAAGGCUUGUCUCAAGAUAUUAAGAUAGAAAAGCUGCAAAUAAACCAAGCAAUUUCUUUGUACAAUGACAGGCUAAGAGGCAAAGAUAUAUAUCCA